rnacentral:lncRNA from 1 species
AACUGGCGCGGGCUAGCCCCCGUCUCAGGAAUCGCCCACGCGCCCACGCCGCGCCGCGCCGCGCCGCGCCGUCCCGCUCGUCCCGCUCCGCUCCGCUCCGCUCCCGCUCCAGCUCCCGCUCCGCCCCCGCCCCCCCGCCCCCGCCCGCCCCCGCUCCCGCCGUGCCCUGGAGAUGCUAUCGGGGCUGCGCCGCCGCCUUCCCCUCCCCGGAAGCGACCCACGCCGGCAGAUCCGACGGAGAUCGGCCCCGGGGUGACGAAGCUUAUGGAAAAAAAGACCAAAGGCCUCGAGGCAUGUUAUUCUUGACCCCCCGGGGCAAACGGAGGUGUCAGCGUCAGGAGCCAUCCUAACUGAGGCCCUGGGAGGUCAGUGCUUUUUGUGUGACUGGACGGUGAAGCCGUCUGUGGGAAUGACCUG